rnacentral:rRNA from 1 species
AACGAACGCUGGCGGUAUGCUUAACACAUGCAAGUCGAACGAGCACGACCUAGCUUGCUAGGUACGGCUAGUGGCAAACGGGUGAGUAACGCGUGGGAACCUACCUUAGAGUUGGGAAUAGCAGUUGGAAACGACUAUUAAUACCCAAUACGCCCUCCGGGGUAAAGAUUUAUUGCUUUAAGAUGGGCCCGCGUUAGAUUAGCUUGUUGGUAGGGUAAUGGCCUACCAAGGCAAUGAUCUAUAGCUGGUUUGAGAGGAUGAUCAGCCACACUGGAACUGAGACACGGUCCAG